UACAGAGGUCUCAAGCGUUGUUCGGAUUCAUUGGGCGUAAAGGGUGCGUAGGUGGCGCCGUAAGUCGGAUGUGAAAUUUCGGAGCUUAACUCCGAAACUGCAUUCGAUACUGCGGUGCUUGAGGACUGGAGAGGAGACUGGAAUUCAUGGUGUAGCAGUGAAAUGCGUAGAGAUCAUGAGGAAGACCAGUGGCGAAGGCGGGUCUCUGGACAGUUCCUGACACUGAGGCACGAAGGCCAGGGGAGCAAACAGG
rnacentral:rRNA from 1 species